UACGUAGAAGACUAGUGUUAUUCAUCUUUAAUAGGUUUAAAGGGUACCGUAGACGGUAUAAUUAGUCUUUAACAGGAAACGGUUAUACUAGAGUUAUAUAUGAGGAGGUGAGUAUUUGUGGAGUAGAGUUGAAAUUCUUUGAUACCAUGAAGACUGGUAAAGGCGAAAGCAACCUUUUAUCUAAUAACUGACGUUGAGGGACGAAGGCUCGGGUCGCGAACAGG
rnacentral:rRNA from 1 species